AGCUGAUCAAGAAACGGGAAUAUCCGAUGUUUAAUAUGCCUCAGUUUUAGAACGCUAUAUCUAAAAGAUAUACUAAUAUGCCACAGAAACGCAUUUAAUCAAACUUCAAGCUCUUUCAGGCAAGCGCUGACUGAAUGUGAACUCUGCUGUCUCUUGGUUUUCAGUUUUCAGCAAAAACCUUAUUGAACUCAACGUUGGAUUGAAAAGCUGAUUUAGGACUUGGUUUUGUGGAGAAGAGUUAGAACGAUCUCAUUUGGAUUAAUGCAUCUCGAGGCUACUCCGAUUGAUCUAGAGGAAGUAGAGUCUGAGGCUGAAACGUAUUUGCGAAUUGAAUUUCUUUGUGAAAGACCAGACGGAACAAUGACUUCGCACGAGACGGAAUGUAGUCUAAACACAGUCAUACAAGGAUUGAAGAUCGACCUCCAGAAUAUUUUCCACUUACCAGCUGCACAACAGAGAUGGCUACUGAGAAACAGAGAAUUAAGCGACGACAAAACACUUUCAAGUUACGACAUUUUAGGCACGGCGUCGUCGGCACGAUCUACUUUUAUCAUCAAAGUCACAUUCAUGAAGUAGUGCAAUUGUAUAACAGUCGAUCAAUGUACAUAGGUCACAUUCAUGAAGUAGUGCAAUUGUAUAACAGUCGAUCAGUGUACAUAGGUCACAUUCAUGAAGUAGUGCAAUUGUAUAACAGUCGAUCAAUGUACAUAGGUUACAUUCAUUUUUUAUGUUAUAAUUACUGUUCAUUAUUUUAAAAACAGAAUAAAAUAUGUCCUUUUUGGUCUGUUGUCACAAUAAACUCACUUUUUAAAAAUCUUUA